rnacentral:rRNA from 1 species
CCCUUAGAUGUUCUGGGCUGCACGCGUGCUACAAUGAAGCGUCCAACAAGAUGCGAAGCCGAAAGGCUCAGCGGAUCUUUGAAGUCGUUUCGUGACCGGGACAGUUGAUUGCAAUUAUUCGACUCGAACGAGGAAUUCCUUGUAAUCGCGAUUCAUCAUAUCGCGCUGAAUACGUCCCUGCCCUUUGUACACACCGCCCGUCGCUCCUACCGAUUGAGCGAUCCGGUGAAUUAUUUGGAGUGUCCACGCAAGCCAAUCCGUUUACGUGGGUGCGAAAUUUUGUAAACCUUAUCGCUUAGAGGAAGGAAAANUCGUANCA